UCUUUAUAGCUUGCUAUAAAGAAUAGUUAGUGGCAGACGGGUGAGUAAUGCAUAGGAAUCUACCUAGUAGUCUGGGAUCGCCACUAGAAAUGGUGGGUAAUACUGUAUAAUCCCUGCGGGGGAAAGAUUUAUCGCUAUUAGAUGAGCCUAUGUUAGAUUAGCUAGUUGGUAGGGUAAAGGCCUACCAAGGCGAUGAUCUAUAGCUGGUCUGAGAGGAUGAUCAGCCACACUGGAACUGAGAUACGGUCCAGACUCCUACGGGAGGCAGCAGUGGGGAAUAUUGGACAAUGGGCGCAAGCCUGAUCCAGCUAUGCCGCGUGAGUGAGGAAGGCCUUAGGGUUGUAAAACUCUUUCAGUAGGGAAGAUAAUGACGGUACCUACAGAAGAAGUCCCGGCAAACUCCGUGCCAGCAGCCGCGGUAAUACGGAGGGGGCAAGCGUUGUUUCGGAAUUAUUGGGCGUAAAAGGGCAUGUAGGCGGUUCGGUAAGUUAAAGGUGAAAUGCCAGGGCUUAACCCUGGAGCUGCUUU
rnacentral:rRNA from 1 species